rnacentral:rRNA from 1 species
GACGAACGCUGGCGGCGUGCCUAAUACAUGCAAGUCGAGCGGACUGAUUAAGAGCUUGCUCUUAUGACGUUAGCGGCGGACGGGUGAGUAACACGUGGGCAACCUGCCCUGUAGAUCGGGAUAACACCGAGAAAUCGGUGCUAAUACCGGGUAAUAUCUGAGAUCACAUGAUCUUAGGUUAAAAGAUGGCUCCGGCUAUCACUACAGGAUGGGCCCGCGGCGCAUUAGCUAGUUGGUAAGGUAAUGGCUUACCAAGGCGACGAUGCGUAGCCGACCUGAGAGGGUGAUCGGCCACACUGGGACUGAGACACGGCCCAGACUCCUACGGGAGGCAGCAGUAGGGAAUCUUCCGCAAUGGACGAAAGUCUGACGGAGCAACGCCGCGUGAGUGAUGAAGGGUUUCGGCUCGUAAAGCUCUGUUGUUAGGGAAGAAACAGUACCGAAUGAACUAGGUCGGUACCUUGACGGUACCUAACCAGAAAGCCACGGCUAACUACGUG